GUGAGUCCUUAAGUAUUUAAGAAAUACUAAAGGAUAAAUUCCUCAAAGAUUGAGGAAGAAUUAGAGUAACGUAAUGGAAGCGUAAAUGUAUUAGAUUAUGAAUCUAAUCCAUCAUUGGAUGUAUCUUCAUUAUGAAUGAAGAGAUAAACAAAUAUCUCUUUAUUAUGAAUAAAGAGAUAUUUGGAUGGAAACAUUAAAGUAAUGACUUUAGUGUGUUCCAUUAUGAAUGCAAAAUAUAUUGCCAUAUAGAAGUUAGUGCGAUAGCUCAAGCCAGGGAAUCAAGGUCUCAUCAAGGUCCGAACUCAUAUGAGAGACUGAACCACAUGAUUAAGAAUCAUGUAUAAUGGUGACGUCGUUAUUCUCAAG
rnacentral:lncRNA from 1 species